CCCUUCUCCCAUUAUCACAUUCCUUGUUUCCUCUGUAUCAUUCAGGCCCAAAUCUCAUACCAAACAGAAUGUCUCUGUUCACCUAGUCUAAAAUAGCUUACUCUCUCCACUUCCAAACCUCAGCCCCAAACCUAUCACCCUGUGAACAUAUUUUAUAGGUUUGUUUAAUCCCCUUCCCUGUGUGGUUUUACAAAUUCUCCAGAGCUUAG
rnacentral:lncRNA from 1 species